AAAUAAGUAAGCUAAUCUUAAGCUUUUAGGUUCAUACCCUAACUAUAGAAUUAUUUCUCUUAUUUA
rnacentral:tRNA from 2 species